AGUGAACGCUGGUGGUAGGCCUAACACAUGCAAGUCGAACGGCAGCACAGUAAGAGCUUGCUCUUACGGGUGGCGAGUGGCGGACGGGUGAGGAAUACAUCGGAAUCUACUUUUUCGUGGGGGAUAACGUAGGGAAACUUACGCUAAUACCGCAUACGACCUACGGGUGAAAGCAGGGGAUCUUCGGACCUUGCGCGAUUGAAUGAGCCGAUGUCGGAUUAGCUAGUUGGCGGGGUAAAGGCCCACCAAGGCGACGAUGCGUAGCUGGUCUGAGAGGAUGAUCAGCCACACUGGAACUAAGACACGGUCCAGACUCCUACGGGAGGCAGCAGUGGGGAAUAUUGGACAAUGGGCGCAAGCCUGAUCCAGCCAUGCCGCGUGAGUGAAGAAGGCCUUCGGGUUGUAAAGCCCUUUUGUUGGGAAAGAAAAGCAGCAGGUUAAUACCCCGCUGUUCUGACGGUACCCAAAGAAUAAGCACCGGCUAACUUCGUG
rnacentral:rRNA from 1 species